AUAUAUUUGUGAAACAUAAAUGUUCUCCUGUUACCGAUCAUCAGUUAUCCCAUUUGUGUUGAAUUUAGGAAACUUGACAUCGCUUGCAGCUGAAAGUUGAUCCCCUCUAACAAAUCAAAACGAAAUAGUCCAAUAAAACGAAAGCAGUCGAAGAAAAUCUAAAUACGAAAGCCUCCCCUUAUUCAUUCCGAAAAAGUUGACUUCAUGCACCUGGAUGCGAGGCGGAAAAGCGACUUGAAUUAGGGAAAAGAAUGAAAUGAUUCUAGUCAUAAAUUCAACUUUUAUAACGUUGGAGCGUAGUUACUGCGGUCUCCGGGAUCCAUUCCGAGACGGAUUACUGGUGGCCCGGAGACCUUUCCAAUUUCACCAGGACAGGUGGCCAAGAAAAGCUCAGCCAGGAGGGGUGGGAUUUGCUCACAGCUGCCCGAGCGCCUCCGAAGGAGACCUAACAACUCAAGAGCAACUGCUUCGCGAAUGACUCUACUACCGGAUCGGAAAACCGCUGAGAAGAUCCGGCGAGAAACUCAGCGGGCUGAUGCAUGGGUUAGGUAUAAUGUGUUCUGUGACAUGUUUUACCACGUUGAACGCCACAUGAAAAAUCGAGUAUUUUCAUUUAGACCACGGUAAUCACCGUUGAGCUUUGUGUUACUUCCUACAAGUCACAAAUUGCAGCUAUCCAACAAAAAGGGUAUGGAAGUGAGCCGCGUGGUCCUUUAGCCGAAACAAGCAGCCUGGUUUUCAAAUUCAAUAGAAGCUUGUGUUUUUUUUUAAAUAAGCCUUAAAAUACCUAAAAAACUAGAUAUAAGUCGCUAAUUUUUAUCUUCCGUGCAAAUUAUCGCUUUUUAUAAAUUUUAGAACGAAAAUCUCAAGUUGUUAAAAAUUACUGAUUCCCUGAUUUUGGCUUGGCCCGAAUGGUAUAAGUACGCUAGGCCCACCGGUGGGAAUUACUGAUUCCCUGAUUUUGGGUUGGCCCGAAUGGUAUAAUAUAAUGGUACGCUAAUGACCGGUGGGUCAAGAAGUGUUCAACGUGUUAAGAAUAUCUCAUAAAAAUAUUGUUUCACUAUUUCACUGAUAAAAGAUUUGUUUCAAUCUUAUAUCAUCGUAUCUGUCUCGAUAUGCAAUCUUAGAUUAUUGGAGUUCCUUGGACAUAUUGCUCGAAAGGAGAGUCACAAUCUUGAGCAGCUGAUGGUGACAGGGAAGAGGGAGGGCAAACGUCCUAGAGGACGGAGUCCCACGAGAUAGUCGGACGAUAUUCGGUCUUGUCUGGACAUCAAAUUCUACAAUGCCCUACACAAGGCCAAGGAUAACAGCAGAUGGAGAACAAGCGUACAAGAGAGAUUCAUGCAGCGGAAGAGUCACGACCUUCAGUAAUGAGGAGAGCGACCCAAGGAGGAGGGGAUCUAUCA